ACCCCCAAAGGGGUCGUGACCCACAGGUUGAGAACCGCUGGUCUAGAAGGAAGACAAAGGAGGAAACCAAAGCCCAGAGGGAGUGCAGGCCUCCCCAGAACUUCCAGCUUCCCCUCUAAUGCCCCUAGGGCUGAGCAUGUUGAAAAAGUGAAAGACUGGGCCUGGACAACAGCUGGAAGACUCAAAUGUUGAAAGUGACUUGAUGGAUGGAGGCUGAAAUCGUGUGAAGGCUCGGUAACUCACAGCCUGGCAAUGGAAGCUGGUUAUAGACUAGAACCUUAGCUGGGGUGUCAGCCAGAACACCUACAACCUGCGGUACCUCACAACAUGGCCUCCAGGUCCCAAGGGCAGCAUCCCAAGAGAGCCAAGCAGAGCCUUCCCUAACCUAGCUUUGGGGGGUCACAGGGUCACACCUGCCACAUUCUGUUUGUCAAGGCAGUCACAUAGGCCUACCCCACCCAAUUUCAAGGGGAAAUUGACUCCACCUCUUGAUAGGGGAGCAGCAAGGCUCGGGAACAAUGUGUAGAACUGGAAAUGUGGCCAGUUUUUGGAAUCAUAGUCUGGCACAGCCUAUUAGGUUUCUCUCUUAGAAUCAACAGACGCCUCUGGGAAAAGGCAAGGAGAUCCCCAAUACUAGACUCAUCAUUCUGGGCUUUUUUCCUCCCCAGUCUUGGCCUUGCAAUUGCUCACUGCCCUGGUAGCUCUUCUGUGCCUUUAAAAAAUGUUUUCUCCAGCUUUUCUAGUUCUCAGUGAAAAAGUGUUGGUACCAUACAACCCAGUCCACCCUCUCUGGUAGGGGGGCCCUGGGCAGUGCUUUUAGAAAGUACACGAUAAAAAGGCUACAUCCCCAAAGUUACAGCAUAUUUAUUUGUGAUAAACAUUAAACACUGUACAUGUGAAGUUUUAGAAAUAUGUGACAAGUAAUGAUUACAUUUAUAUAAACAGUAAUUACAACUUCAUAAGUGUAUGCAUGUGGAUGGAGAAGCACUGGAAUUGUCAUGGGCAGAGUUAUUUGAAAAUUAAAGGCAGCUUUAUGUA